CCGCCCCCUACCACCUAUUGGAUCGCCUAGCGGCUCCCUGGACUCCAUUCCGAUUGGCUCGCAACCCUCGUCAGUCAAGCUCGAGGGGCGCAUUCUUUUCCCAUGGACUUGACGGAUCCGGAACCUCUAGGACCCCGGAGCCGGAGAAACAAAUCAGAAACCGAGAGAAACCUGGCUGGGUCUUCCCUACGCUGUAGCAACAGCAGGGCCUCCACUUGACGGACGCUUCGGACCACCAAUCCGAGUGGCCAAUGCUUUUUAAAACUAAAUGGAGCCAAACCAAUCAUGGCCGUGGAGCCGGAGCCGCGAGGGAGCCAAUGGGGUGGCGAGCUGGCCGGACGGGGCGGAGGCGACGGGGACACCGGUAAUGAUGUGAGCCACAAUGCGCGACGGCUGCGGAAGCCUAGCCGGGCCCUGGUGUUAGCUUAAGCCGCGAAGCGUUCGCUCAGCAUGUGAGUGGUAGUAAGAUCGAUACCCGCAUUGUCGACAGCGACAUUUUAUCAGGGGGCUCUCCUGUCUCGCCCUCUUUACUCGAAAGAGGUGGCUGUGCUGGAAGCGAGGUCAAGUCUCGGGCAUGUCCUCAUUCUCAGCGUGAGAACAGACCAACGCAGCAACCAAGGGGCCUGGAAUGCUCCCUUCCUGAGUUCAAGCAACCAGCCUCGGGAGAUGUCUCCUGUCCGAGAGGCCGCCCGCACCCAACUGAGGCCCAGAAACCCCGCAUGCAGCUAUGGAAUGUCUGGCACCCCGCUUCCUGGGACCCCUUUCUCUGGCCAGUUGGCGAAUCUUGGGGACAGGAGGGGCAGUAGCAGCAGCCACCUGCCCCGAAGGUCAUCUUGAUGAGAGGCAAAGGAAACCCAGGUACUUUUGGCCCCAGAUGCCUGCACUGCUCCUGAGUAACUGCCCUGUGACCAGAUGCUGAGCUGUGAAGGCAGAGAUGGGACUUCAGCCAGCCCCUUUGUGGCCAGCCCCCCAGCAGUGGGAGAUGUCCCCACAGGCCCUGAGUGUCCCUCACACCAGUGAGCACCUCACCAGGCUCCUCAGGGACCUUCCCAGGAACUGUUCUUCUGACCUUUCCUCCCGCCCCGCCUCCCUCCAUCGAGCACACUCCAGCUCCUGCAGUUACGCCCUUGUUCCGAACACUUGGGGGCUCUAUGUCCCUGCUGAAGCUCUGACCCAUGCACAGAGGUCGCCACGCUGAGGGAGGGGCCGCGGCCCCAUUCCAGACACAGGCACGCCUUUCACAAGGGCCUGCACUGACACUGGCCCCAAAGCCGGGAUAGUAGACAAAUCCACCAUGCGAACUUGCCCUCCGGGGCCGGGCAGCACACAACCAGCCCUACAAAGGGAUGAAGGGAGCAGGGGACCCAGGCCCAGACACCGACACAGGUCUGCACCUUCCAGCAAGUGCCGCUGACGGCACCCCAACCCAACAUGCAACUUCCCAAAGGGCGUGGGGCUUAGGUGGGUCUCCUAAGGCCAUCCUGGAAAGCAUAGGGCCAGAUCCGAGCUCCUAUGAGUAACGGGAACAGAACUGUCAGUUACGCCCCGAGGGACUCAGUUCUCCUGGCCCCCAGUGUGGUACGAGAGCACAGCCUUUCACGCCAGACAAACCUGGGUGAAGUCCUGCUUCACCACCUUCCAGCUGCAGCAGGAUCCCUGGGGAGGGACUUCACCUGUCUCAGCCUCAGUUUCUUCAUCUUUAAAAUGGGCUCGACCCAGCACUUUGGGAGGCUGAGGUGGGUGGAUCACUUGAGGUCAGGAGUUUGAGACCAGCCUGGCCAAUAUGGUGAAACCCCGUCUCUACUAAAAAUACAAAAAUUAGCUGGGCAUGGUGGCGGGCACCUGUAAACCCAGCUACAUGUGAGGCUGAGGUGGGAGAAUCUCUUGAACCUAGGAGGCGGAGGCUGCAGUGAGUUAAGAUUCCACCACUGCACUCCAGCCUGGGCGACAGAUCAGGACUCUGUCUCAAAACAAAUAGAUAAAAAUAAUCAAAUACAGUAAUGAAAUGGGCUUUCGAAGGCCUGCUUCCUGGGGCUAUCCUGAUGGCUGGCAGGUAGCCUAUGGAGAGUGCCCAGGCCCUUCCCCUGCCCUUUAGGAAGCAGCACUGGGCCCUGUUCUUUCUGGAGAGGGCCCUCCUUGGCCCAGAGAGCCAGCAUAGGGAUUCCUCAGGAUUUAACCCCAACAUCAGGAGGGCGCAAGACUGGGGGCAUUUCAGGGGGGGUUUCAAAGAAGGAACCAGAGGGGGCGGCAGCAGAAAGGGCUUCCUGCAGCUGCCCAUGCCCCAGCCUAGGGGGUCUGUUUGCACCUCUUCCCACGAACUUGACCAGACCUGGUUUCUCUCCUACAUCCCAAGGCAAAAUGUGAGAUUCUGUCCAACUCUGCACUGGGCAGACUUCUGGCAAGAUCCACCAGAACAGCGUCUUGGCAGCGUCUCAGACGUCCAGUGACCCCGGCCAUGCCCUCUUCAACGAGGACUGGAUCUUGACCCAGGUUGGGGGUGGGGAGGCUCCACCUCAGCCCAUCGGCUAUUCCUGUAUUUUUUGAGAUAGAGUCUGUCUCUGUCGCCCAGGCUUGAGUACAUUGGCAUGAUCUCAGCUCACUACAACCCCUGGGAUUACAGGCGCGUGCCACCAUGCCCGGCUAAUUUUUGUGUUUUUAGUAGAGACGGGGUUUCAUCAUGUUGGCCAGGCUGGUCUCAAACUUCUGACCUUGUGAUCUUCCUGCCUUGGCCUACAAAGUGCUGGAAAUACAGGCAUGAGCCAGUGUGGCCCUCUGCUGAGAAAAGACGGACUGUCCCCUUCAGAGGGCCACUUGGCAAGAGAAGUUAAAAUGGCCAAGGCUCCACCACAGCAGGAGAGGGGACCCCGAUGGCCUCCAGAGGCACCCCAGCCACGCCUGACAAGGAGUGCUGUUCAGCCACCGAGAAUGUGACAGCUCUGCCCUUGAAGCAGAACAAACUUCAGGGUGCGGGGGAAAGUGGAGGAAAAGGUGGUCGUGAGCUGGCCAGCCUGGCCCCACUGUCUACUGACCCAAUGACUCAGGCCGGUGGAUAACGCUCAGUUCUUCGGCCUCCUUGCUGCAAAAUGAGGAAAACAACAGCACCACCACCGGGAGAUGAGUUAAGGCAGAGUUCUAGGCGGGGUGCACAUGGCAGCCAGGAGCCCCCAAAAUACUCAGAACACCAGCCUUUUUAUUUUUCUUUUUGAGAGCAGUCUUUCUCUGUUGCCAAGCUGGAGUGCAGUGGCGCAAUCCCGGCUCACUGCAACCUCCGCUUCCCAGGUUCAAGCGAUUUUCUUGUCUCAGCCUCCCAAGUAGCUGGGACUGCAGGCGUGUACCACCACGCCCGGCUAAUUUUUGCUUUUUUUUUUUUUCAGUAGAGAAAGGUUUCACCAUGUUGGCCAGGAUAGUUUCCAUCUCCUGACCUCGUGAUCCACCCACCUGGAGCCUUGGAGCCUCCCAAAGUGCUGGGAUCACAGGCGUGAGCCACCGCAUCCAGCAUAACACCAGCCUUAGCCGUUAUAUAUCGUUAGUAGCAAAAGCCAAGGCUCAGCGCUGACUAUUCAGAUGCUGUCUGUCGGGCUUAUGAAAACACGUAUGUCAGCCAGGCACAGUGGCUCAUGCCUGUAAUCCUAACACUUUGGGAGGCUGAGGCAGGAGGAUUACUUUAGCUUAAGAGUUCAAGACCAGCCUCGGCAAUACAGUGAGACCUCGUCUCUACAAAAAAAUGUAAAGAGUAACACCUGCAGUCCCAACUACCUGCAGGGCUGAGGCAGGAGAAUCGAGUGAGCCCAGGAGUUUGAGGGUGCAGUGAGCUGUGAUUGUGCCACUGCGCUCCCACUGGGUGAGAGAGGGGGACCAUGUCUCAAAAACAAACAAAAAACACCUAUGUCCAUCUGAAUAAGGUCAAAAGAUCCUAUCAGUGUCUUGCUUAUGACAGGCAUGAAGGCAUGCAAGAUGUAAACUAGGCGGAGGAUGAAUGGGGCUGUGCUGUUUCUCACAGCUGCACCUAAAUCUACAAUUAUCUUUUUGCUGGGAAAACAAAGUCCACACUCUUGUGUGCUUGCGUAUGCACAGAUUACUCCUGGGGGGACACACAGAAACACACCACAGGAGGUCAUGCCUCCCGGGGCAUCCUGCUUGGGGUUAUGGAGGCGGGGGUCCCUCUGGACUGCAGGCUCUUCUAUACUAUUUGAAUUUUGUGCCAUGAACAUAUAUUUGACAGAUGCAAAAUAACUUUGCUAAUUUUUUUUUUUUUUUGAGACAUACGAGUCUCGCUCUGUCGCCAGGCUGGAGUGCAGUGGCACUAUCUAGGCUCACUGUAACCUCCACCUCCUGGGUUCAAGCAAUUCUCCUGCCUCAGCCUCCCGAGUAGCUGGGACUACAGGCGACCGCCACCACACCUGGCUAAUUCUUGUGUUUUUAGCAGGGAUGAGGUUUCACCAUGUUGGCCAGGACACAAUCUCUUGACCUCGUGAUCUGCCCACUUCAGCCUACCAGAGUGCUGGGAUUCCAGGCAUAAGCCACCACGCCCAGCCUAACUUUGCUAAUUUAAAAAUGGCUGGCUUCAUGCAGUUUCUUUUACGGGUAGAAAAAGGUUCUAAAAUUAACUGUGGUGAGGGUUGCACACAUCUGUGAAUAUCCUAAAACCCACCGAAUCAUACACUUUUUGAAGCGAGUGAGCUGUAUGGUUAAACAAUCGAUUUUAAAAAAUAGCUGGCUGGUCGGUGCCAUCUCUUAUUGCCUGAUAAGCUCCUCCCAGCUCCCAAGGAGAACAGGAAAGAAUUCCACGUCCUGAGCCUCCUGCUGCGUGCGCGGGCCGGGCCCCGGUUUCUGGCGCUCCUGGCUGGUUAGGUGAUGAUGCAGCAGCAGGAGCGGAGAAGAAGUCUAAACUCUCUGCUUCUGGCUCCCAGCUCCCUUUGUCCCCAAACACAGCCAGGCCCUGGAGCCUGCAGACGACUCAGUUCCUGUCCAGGACACCAAGGAUAACCCUCUUCUGCUCCUUCCUUCCCAGGGCCCACCACGGUCAGGAGCGAUAAGAAGGCAACGCCCCACAAAAGAAGUAAAAAUGAAAUAAAGCAAACAAAAAAGGCAACACCCCAGGCCAGGUGCUGUGGCUCAGCCUGCAAUCCCAACACCUUGGGAGGCUGAGGCGCGAGGGUCACUGGAGGCCAGGAAUUGGAGACCAGCCUGGGCAACAGAGUGAAACUCUGUCUCUGCAAAAAAUGUCAACAUUAGCUGGGCAUGGGGACGCAUGCGUGCAGUCCUAGCUACCUGGGGGCUGAGGUGGGAGGAUCGCUUGAGCUAGGUCAAGACCGGAGUGAGCCACGACAGCGCCACCGCACUCCAGCCUGACUGACAGAGCGAGACCCUGUCCCAAAAAAACAAAACAAGAAAGAAACAAAGACAAGACCCCAUAUGUGAGGGACACUCAGAAGGGCAGGAAGAACCAGCCCUGGUGAGGUGGGGCGCCCUGGUGAGGCCCCAGAGGAAGCGGAGGGGGCUGGCUUUACCUUAGGGGCAAACAGCUGCAGGAACUAGAUUGUGGAAAAUGAAAAGCAUUCAAAGCGUGUCAACACACAGGGGUUCACAUCCAGGUGCCAAGCUCACCUUGGCACCCUGGGGCUGUGCUCCCAGAAAUGGGCGUUCUCCCCAGCCAGCCCCCUGGAUGCUGGAGGGUGCCGACAGUUUAUCCUCUUCUCACUCACUUCGCUUGGAGGGUGUGGCUCAGCGAGAGCCUCCCCUCAGCCUGCUGAAAGCUCCGGGAAGGAUUUUAGCCACGAAAAUCACCCCGUGUGUCUGUCCUACACAAAACCAUGCAGCUGUUUUCCUGGCUGGGAGGACAGGGGGUUUGUGGUGGGCAACCCGAGGGGAAGCUCACAGAGGGCAGACGGGCCUGGUGCAGGCGGCCAUCACUGGGCUGCCCGUGUGCAACAGGCGGCCAUCUGGAGGCUGACGUGGCCCCACAGCCAUUCUAGGAGGUGGAUUCGGGUAAGAUUUCAGCUCUUUAUAUUUCUGUGUGGUUUUCAGAGUAUCCACAGACAACAAUGUCUUUAAAGAAUGUUUGUAGAGAGGGAAGAAAGCAAGCAUGCCUCAGAGGCGGCGGGGGGACCGCCCCCAAGAACCCGAGAAGCCUCUUCUGGCCGGAGCUGAAGGCCGGAGGGGCCCACAGCCACAUCCCGCCCCACCCCUCCCCAGCCCCGCCACUCACCGGCGGG